GCCGGGCAUAGUGGCGUGUGCCUGUAGUCCCAGCUGCUCAGGAGGCUGAGGCAGGAGAAUUGCUUGAACCCAGGAGGCGGAGGUUGCAGUGAGCUGACAUGGUGCCACUGUACUCCAGCCUGGGUGACAGAGCGAGACUUGUCUCCA
rfam:Gorilla gorilla gorilla genomic chromosome, chr6, whole genome shotgun sequence